rnacentral:piRNA from 1 species
UACCGUCAGCUUUUUUUGGAA